rnacentral:rRNA from 1 species
UACGAAGGUGGCAAGCGUUGUUCGGAUUUACUGGGCUUACAGGGAGCGUAGGCGGUUGGAUAAGCCCUCCGUGAAAUCUCCAGGCUUAACCUGGAAAGUGCAGAGGGGACUGUUCAGCUAGAGGAUGGGAGAGGAGCGCGGAAUUCCCGGUGUAGCGGUGAAAUGCGUAGAGAUCGGGAGGAAGGCCGGUGGCGAAGGCGGCGCUCUGGAACAUUUCUGACGCUGAGGCUCGAAAGCGUGGGGAGCAAACAGG